ACGACACCCUUAACGUUAGUAUAAAGGGAAUUAAACAUCUGGAUGUGGAGGUAUUCUUGUUAGAUGUGAGAAAAUACAACUCGGCAUUAAACGAAUACAGACUGGAUGAACAGAAUGAAAAUGCACGUGAUUCCCGACCUCGUUAUAUCAGUAUACUGCCGAUCUUAAAAUUAUGCGUGUUUUUUGGGAGGAGUCUCGAGAGGAGACCCUCUCUGAGGGUCUGCGGGUAAAUUUCAGCUUUUCAGAUCCAAACAAAUGCAAUCCGAAAUAAACAAUAUCAUAACACUUACUAUCAGCAAUUUAUGUCGUGCCAGCUUGUAUACUGAAAACAGAUUCCUAUAUCUCACGAGCGUGUGCACACAAAACCGUGCAGUGAUACAGCGCCCAGGACUUGGAAGGGCUCACUGCAGAAGAUUCUCUACUGCCGUCUAGCGUCAGUUACCAGUACUGAGUUUUCGCUCCUUGACAUUUCACAUCUCAGCUGACUCCAGAUGCUAGCUGUAAGAAGCCAGUCACACAAGCUGUCAGCCCUACCGCACAGAGAAUUGCAGCAUUUGAGGCAGUGGCGGAAUGACUGUACAGUAAGACCUGGGUAAAAAUGGACUAUGCUGCAAAGUCACACCUAGGUCCUGCCUUGCCAGUUGCAACAGUUAUAUAUGAC